rnacentral:rRNA from 1 species
UACGUAGGGUGCAAGCGUUGUCCGGAAUUAUUGGGCGUAAAGAGCUUGUAGGCGGUUUGUCGCGUCUGCUGUGAAAUUUCGGGGCUCAACCCCGAACUUGCAGUGGGUACGGGCAGACUAGAGUGUGGUAGGGGGAGACUGGAAUUCCUGGUGUAGCGGUGAAAUGCGCAGAUAUCAGGAGGAACACCGAUGGCGAAGGCAGGUCUCUGGGCCAUAACUGACGCUGGAGGAGCGAAAAGCCGUGGGGAGCGAACAGG